ensembl:misc_RNA 7SK 7SK RNA
GGAUGUGAGGGCGAUCUGGCUGCGACAUCUGUACCCCAUUGAUCGCCAGGGUUGAUUCGGCUGAUCUGGCUGGCUAGGCGGGUGUCCCCUUCCUCCCUCACCGUUCCAUGUGCGUCCCUCCCGAAGCUGCGCGCUCGGUCGAAGAGGACAAACAUCCCCGAUAGAGGAGGAGUGGUCUUCGGUCAAGGGUAUACAAGUAGCUGUGCUCCCCUGCUAGAACCUCCAAACAAGCUCUCAAGAUUAUGGGAAAUGGAUUUCUAUUUGAUAAUAGAAUAGAUAACAAAUCUAAU